UACAGAGGUCUCAAGCGUUGUUCGGAUUCAUUGGGCGUAAAGGGCGCGUAGGCGGCGGGGUAAGUCGGGUGUGAAAUCUCAGAGCUCAACUCUGAAAUGGCACUUGAUACUGCUCUGCUAGAGGACUGGAGAGGAGAUUGGAAUUCACGGUGUAGCAGUGAAAUGCGUAGAUAUCGUGAGGAACACCUGCGGCGAAGGCGGGUUGCUGGGCUGAUACUGACGCUGAGGCGCGAAAGCCAGGGGAGCGAACGGG
rnacentral:rRNA from 1 species